CAUUCACGGAGAGUUUGAUCCUGGCUCAGGACGAACGCUGGCGGCGUGCUUAACACAUGCAAGUCGAACGAUGAAGCCUUUCGGGGUGGAUUAGUGGCGAACGGGUGAGUAACACGUGGGCAAUCUGCCCUUCACUCUGGGACAAGCCCUGGAAACGGGGUCUAAUACCGGAUAACACUCUGUCCCGCAUGGGACGGGGUUAAAAGCUCCGGCGGUGAAGGAUGAGCCCGCGGCCUAUCAGCUUGUUGGUGGGGUGAUGGCCUACCAAGGCGACGACGGGUAGCCGGCCUGAGAGGGCGACCGGCCACACUGGGACUGAGACACGGCCCAGACUCCUACGGGAGGCAGCAGUGGGGAAUAUUGCACAAUGGGCGAAAGCCUGAUGCAGCGACGCCGCGUGAGGGAUGACGGCCUUCGGGUUGUAAACCUCUUUCAGCAGGG
rnacentral:rRNA from 1 species